UACGUAGGGGGCAAGCGUUGUCCGGAUUUAUUGGGCGUAAAGAGCGUGUAGGCGCCACACAGGUCUGCUGUGAAAACUCGAGGCUCAACCUCGAGCUGUCGGUGGAAACCGUGUGGCUAGAGUCCGGAAGAGGAGAGUGGAAUUCCCGGUGUAGCGGUGAAAUGCGCAGAUAUCGGGAAAGAACACCCGUGGCGAAGGCGGCUCUCUGGGACGGUAC
rnacentral:rRNA from 1 species